UGGGGAAUUUUGGACAAUGGGCGAAAGCCUGAUCCAGCAAUGCUGCGUGUGUGAAGAAGGCCUUCGGGUUGUAAAGCACUUUUGUCCGGAAAGAAAUGGCUCUGGUUAAUACCUGGGGUCGAUGACGGUACCGGAAGAAUAAGGACCGGCUAACUACGUGCCAGCAGCCGCGGUAAUACGUAGGGUCCAAGCGUUAAUCGGAAUUACUGGGCGUACAGCGUGCGCAGGCGGUUGUGCAAGACCGAUGUGAAAUCCCCGAGCUUAACUUGGGAAUUGCAUUGGUGACUGCACGGCUAGAGUGUGUCAGAGGGGGGUAGAAUUCCACGUGUAGCAGUGAAAUGCGUAGAGAUGUGGAGGAAUACCGAUGGCGAAGGCAGCCCCCUGGGAUAACACUGACGCUCAUGCACGAAAGCGUGGGGAGCAAACAGG
rnacentral:rRNA from 1 species